ACUCAAAUGAAUUGACGGGGGCCCGCACAAGCGGUGGAGUAUGUGGUUUAAUUCGACGCAACGCGAAGAACCUUACCAACCUUUGACAUGUCCAGUAUGGAUUUAAGAGAUUAGAUCCUUCGGUUCGGCCGGCUGGAACACAGGUGCUGCAUGGCUGUCGUCAGCUCGUGUCGUGAGAUGUUGGGUUAAGUCCCGCAACGAGCGCAACCCUCAUCUUCAGUUGCCCCCGGGUCAGGCCGGGCACUCUGAAGAAACCGCCGGUGACAAGCCGGAGGAAGGCGGGGAUGACGUCAAGUCCUCAUGGCCCUUACAGGUUGGGCUACACACGUACUACAAUGGUGGUGACAAUGGGCAGCGAAAGCGCGAGCUGGAGCCAAUCCCAAAAAGCCAUCUCAGUUCAGAUUGCACUCUGCAACUCGGGUGCAUGAAGUUGGAAUCGCUAGUAAUCGCAGAUCAGCACGCUGCGGUGAAUACGUUCCCGGGCCUUGUACACACCGCCCGU
rnacentral:rRNA from 1 species